AUUGAACGCUGGCGGCAGGCCUAACACAUGCAAGUCGAGCGGGGUUUUCGGACCUAGCGGCGGACGGGUGAGUAAUGCGUAGGAAGCUACCCGAUAGAGGGGGAUACCAGUUGGAAACGACUGUUAAUACCGCAUAAUGUCUACGGACCAAAGUGUGGGACCUUCGGGCCACAUGCUAUCGGAUGCGCCUACGUGGGAUUAGCUAGUUGGUGAGGUAAUGGCCAACCAAGGCGACGAUCUCUAGCUGGUUUGAGAGGAUGAUCAGCCACACUGGAACUGAGACACGGUCCAGACUCCUACGGGAGGCAGCAGUGGGGAAUAUUGGACAAUGGGCGCAAGCCUGAUCCAGCCAUGCCGCGUGUGUGAAGAAGGCCUUCGGGUUGUAAAGCACUUUCAGCGAGGAGGAAGGGUUGUGUGUUAAUAGUACACAGCCUUGACGUUACUCGCAGAAGAAGCACCGGCUAACUCUGUGCCAGCCGCCGCCGUAAUAC
rnacentral:rRNA from 1 species